GGACGAUGAUGACGGUACCCGUAGAAGAAGCCCCGGCUAACUUCGUGCCAGCAGCCGCGGUAAUACGAAGGGGGCUAGCGUUGCUCGGAAUGACUGGGCGUAAAGGGCGUGUAGGCGGUUUGUACAGUCAGAUGUGAAAUCCCCGGGCUUAACCUGGGAGCUGCAUUUGAUACGUGCAGACUAGAGUGUGAGAGAGGGUUGUGGAAUUCCCAGUGUAGAGGUGAAAUUCGUAGAUAUUGGGAAGAACACCGGUGGCGAAGGCGGCAACCUGGCUCAUUACUGACGCUGAGGCGCGAAAGCGUGGGGAGCAAACAGGAUUAGAUACCCUGGUAGUCCACGCUGUAAAC
rnacentral:rRNA from 1 species